CGAUGAUGAUACCCCAAAAUCAUUCCUUGGAAAAGCUGAACAAAAUGAGUGAGAACUUCAAACCGUCGUUCUCAUCGUGACUGAGGUCCGGCAUGUAGCCUCAUGCAGAGACUGUAGGAGAAGGAGUCCAUGUCCUGUGCUCACAUUCUCAGACCCUGCAGGGAUGUGUCCCUUUAGCCACUUGGCCGGGGAACAGCUGAGCAAGUGUCAUGGAGAAAUUGUGUGCAGCUCCUUAUCCUGCAUUGGUCCAGUCCCCUCUACCCUCAAAAGUUAAAGUUUGGAACGAGUCACAGUACAUUAGGGAAAUGAGGUGGAGGAGGCCUACUGUGAGAGCCCCGUGUCAGAAAGCAAAGGAAAAGCUGCUGUUAUGGGGCGUGCCGUCAGCCAAGUGUUCCUGUUUCCUGAGGAGUGGAGCAGCCGUGGAGUGCUACAAGCCUUGUGUCUUCUUGCUGAGCUCUGGGCCUGUGGACGGAUGGUUGAGGGUGGUAAUAAUUUCAUGGUGCAGCCUGGAAAGGUCUUUGUCAAGAGAUUAUGGAGCCCUGAAGACCUCUGUCUCUGCAGGGCUGAGACAUAACACGGGGUUUCAGACCUCACGUGGACGGGGUUCCGGGGCACAGUGCCUCGGACCUUGGUGUCUCCCAAGGCCCUGGGGGUCCUCUAGGUGGAGGUCUUGUGUAGUCCCCCUUGGACAGGUAGGCCCCUGAGCCGUCUCUCUGCAUGCUUGGAUCAAUGAUGAUAACCCAAAAAACAUUCCUUGGAAAAGCUGAACAAAAUGAGAGAACUGCAAACCGUCGUUCUCAUCAUGACUGAGGUCCGGUACGUGUCCUCAUGCGGAGAUGGCAGGAGCGCGGGUGCACGUUCAUGUGCUGAAGUUUGUCAGGCCACCCAGGGAUGCAUCUUAGGGCAGCUUCCUGUGCCCAGAGCCUUAGGCAGGUGGUUUUAGUGGGGUAGGUCCAGCUGGACGAGACCUGGGUUGAAUCGAUCCCAACCUGUUUGUUGGCUGUGUUGGCAACAGACGGGACACCUGGCCUGGCCCAGCCCGGCCUGACCCAACCCAACACAGUUUCCCCUCAGCCCUGUUUUGGUUGGUGUAGUCCCUGCCUCGGUGGGCACUGGUGAGGCCGGACACUGCUCAGGACCAGGUCUGGUUCUCCUGGGAGAGGAUCCCGCUAGCCGUUGUGGAGAUUAUGGCGCCAUGGGAGAGGUGGUUGACUGUGGACAGGGCCUAGGUUCAUUGUGUGAGUGGAACAGGAACGGGAACCUGGAAUUGGCUGGGGACUCCUCUUUGCCACUGCCACGGAGACGAAGCAUUCAGGCUGUGGCUCACCUUUGACAGUUGGUGCAAACUGGGGAGAUGCCAGGAAAUCCAGGAGGCGCUCUUCGCUUUGGGUCCCUCGGCAGGGGUAACCCAGAGCAAGUGUCCCGCAGCGGGGGUGGAGCUCAGUGUCACCCGCUGCAGCUGGGAUUUGCACUUGUGCUCCUGUGCCCACCGAAGGCGCCCUUACGUUUACCGCUGGUGGCAGUCUGUGGCAUCCCUAGUGCCCCACCUCGGAAAUAGCAGGGAAAGGUGUAGGAUGGAUGUGCCCUGGGGCUCUCCCUGUGGGCCAGCCCUGACUUUCGCUGAAGGUCCUGGAGCAGUGUGCUGCAGACUUGCCUUGCUGUGGCCUUGCAAGAGGAGGUCCCUUGGUGCCAUUCAGGGCCAGCUCUCCCAGAUGGACGUUGGGGCAGGAGAAAUGUGUCUGUGUUCCGGAGUACUGUGCUGGGAGUUGUGUCUGUGGGCAGGUGUCACUCUCUGCUGUCCCUAUGCCGCGAGGGAACUGGCCUACCCGGUCCUGGGUGGGGUUGGCGUUUGUCUGCGUCAAGCCCAUAUCAGCCCCCUUGCCCUGAGGUCCAGUCCCCACGGUUGGCCUCCCCAUGGAAGGUAUCCACCAGCUGGCCUUACUGCGGGCCUCCCUGGCAUGAUGCCGGCCUGGUUUGAGCUUUCCUAAGGUGCGUGGAGUCCACAGACACCUGUAGAAAGAGGGGGCCAUGCUGCGUCUGGCCCCGCAGGUCUCAUGAGGCGGACUUGAGCUGCAGAGGUCCCAAGCUCGUCACUUGGAGGCAUUCUGUUGCCUGCGCGGGGCUCCGGCACCAGGGAAGCUACUGUGUCAGGCCUUGUGGGUGAUGAAGUUGUCUUUGGAAGUCCACAGAAGAAGCACGCUUGCUGUGAGUGUGGCCAGAGCCUGGAAAGUAGUAUUCCUCCUUCUCCUGGGGUCGGCAGUCCCGUGGUACCUGCUUGUCAUCGCCUGAGUCCAGUGGGGAUGCCCCACUGAGAAGCCCCACGUCCCCUGCUUCCCAGGUGGAAGGGGUCGCAUGCACAUUGUGUCACAUUGGGCCCCGGCUUCUGUCCUCAGGGCAGCAGACAUGUCUGCAUUCCUGGCCUGGGAUUCCCUAGCUGGUGCCACCGUCUGCCUUCCACGUGAGGCCUGCUUUUCCAGAAGGGUGAAGGAGGGGUCUCUUCUCACCUCGUAGGGCACCCCACCUCAUCCCCUCACCCAGCCUUCAAAGGUCCAUAGCACCUGUGAUCUGACUUGUCAGUAUGGCCCUUGAAGGUGAGGUGGCACCCCCGUUCGCCAUCCUCAGGUUAUGGGAGAUGGUGUGCUGUAGGCCGAGGGCCCUCGGUGAGCAGCUGUGCCCAGGAAGGGCCCAGGUCAGGUUGCAGUUUGCAAUGAGGGCCUGGGGAGGGCCGCAGGGCAUCAGGGAGAGAAUGUAGGCCCAUGCGGGGGACGCUCCUGAGCCAUCACAGGAAGGACAAGCAGAUGGCAGAGUUAGCGCGAAGGUCAGGGCGGCCCUGGAUAGCUGGAAUGGAUGCCUUUGUCUCCCUCAUGUACGGUGUUUUGUGUCCCUGCUGCUUAGGAGGAGUUGCCACAGCUGGCUGGGCUUCAGCUGUGUGUUUCUGGUUGCGCGAUCCAGAAGGGAUAUGGAAUUGCUGCAAGGGAUGUGCUCUGUUGAUUAUGCACUGUAGUCAGCAUCCCUGGCAUAUAUGUGCACAUUUAUUUUCUUGGAAUUUCCAGCUGGUGGCCAUUAUUUGCCUUUCACAAUGUUUUUUUUUUUUUUUCCCAAGAAGGGGAAAAUGCGGUCACGUCUCACCCUUGUUGGAUACCCUACCCAGUUCCCCAAUCCAGCCUUUGUUAUUCAGAUAUGCCUGUUCAGUGAGCUUGUGAUGCUUCCAGAAGAUUUGCCCAUUUAAGAUGCAGAAGGCAGCCAUGUUCCUUGUGCCCCAAGUGUUGGAGUUGGUAUGUUGUCCAGUGAGGCCCCUUAUGCUGCUGUCAUGAGAUGGUGUACGGUAGUGUGCAGUGUGUUCCUGCGAAGGGGCUGAGGGAGUCACUACCUGCAUUUUGCUGAAUGCAGGAAAUGUGCACACACAGGGAAUUCCAUAUCAUGUCUGUCCUUUGCACACAGAGAAGGAAGUGUUCUCUUUUGCAUAGGAAGCUUCUGAGGUAUCAGGAAAGACAUACAGAUGGUAGAGUUAGAGCAAAGUCCAGGGUGGCAUUGCAUGGGUGAACGGGAUGCCUCCGUGUCCCUCACAUAUGGAGUUUUCCUUGUGCAUUAUUCAGGGAGUUGCUGUGGGAUGCAUGCUGUCUGCUGUGUGUCCCUGAUGUCUUCGUCCCUGUGGAGCUGUGAAGUUGCUGCAUGCAUUGUGUCUCGUUGAUGGGCUUUGUGCUUGUGAUGGGUGAGGACAGUAAGCAUUUCUUUUUGCAAGGGGUAGAUAUUGUCCUCAGGACCUUGUCAGCAUCACCAGGACCUAGGUCUCUAUGGGCCAGAAAUGGGCUUUGGGUGUUCAUGCCUCAGGUGGACCAUGUGUUCCUGGAGCACGGUGGCAGGGUCCAGUGUCCUAAAGCCCUCCAAGGUCUUCUCUUGUUAGACCAGCAAAUAUGCCUGUGGCAUCCUUAAGUGUGCUUGGAUCGAUGAUGACACCCCAGUUACAUUCCUUGGAGCUGAACAAAAUGAGUGAAAACUCUAAACCGUCUCUCUCAUCAUGACUGAGGUCCAGAAUGCUGCCCCACACAGUGACUGCAGGAGCAAGGCUGCACUUGAGAUGCUUACGUUCCUUCUACCACACGGGGUUCAUCCCUGGUUAGGCCCAUGCCCCCAGGUUCUUAGGAACAUGUCCUCAGUGGGUUGGAGCCAGCUACUUGAGUUUUGGGUUGAAGUAUACAUGACAUGUUCAUGAGUGGUCAAUUUGUGGUGGGAACAGAUGCUGAAGACUUCACCAGUUUCCCUGGAGCCCAUCUUUGGUUGGUAUUGUUAGUGCCUCCGAUUGCUGGGCAUUAGUGAGCCCUGACUCUGCUCAGGGCCUGUCUUCAUUGUCCUGGGAAAGUGCAUGACCAGCCCUUAAGGAGAAGGAAUUCGCUGACUGUGGACAGGGUCUUGGGUAAUGGUGCAUAUGGAACAUGACCCCGUGACUAGUCAUAUGUGGCAGCUGCUCACCACCAGUCCUGGACGGAAGAAUGUUCACUUUUGGGCUCACCUUUGACUGUUGGUGGCAACUAGGUUGGGAAUUGUAGGAGGCUUUGACUUUGGUCCCUGUGCCCAGGAAGUCCCAGAGCGGAUGUCACGGGGAGACUCUGUGAGGCUCACAUCAUCUGCUUGGUGUGGUUCUUCUCCCAUCCCCCAAAUCCUGCCACUGAGAAUGUGCCCUUGGUUUUUCUGUCCCUGGCAGCCUGUCCUAGUGUAGCUGGUAGGGGUUGAGGGUCAGUUUGGCCUAUGGCUUCCUCUGGUGGCCACAGUUCCAUUUUGCUAAAGGUCACAGAGCACACUGUGCUCCAGAGUUGUCUUCCUCUUCCUCUUUCCUUGCAAGCAGAGGUCCCUUGCUGUGUUCUUUUUUUGGGCGGUACCAGGGGUUGAACUCAGGACCUUGCGCUUAUGAGGCAGGCGUGGUGCCACUGAGCUAAAUCCCAGGUACUCUUGUUUUCUUAAGGGCCAGCCAUCUAAGCAGGAAGAUUUCAGUAGAGAUGUGGCCGUGUUCCUGUGUGCUUUUUUAGGAGAUCUCUCUGCGGUCAGGGGUUACUCUCUCGUUUCCCCAUUCCAUGGUACUGUUGGCCUUACAUGAGCCUGUGGAACACUGGAGCAUGUCCAUGUCAGGCCAUGCUCAGCCCACGGACCCAGAAGUCCAGUCGCCACUGAAUGGGCUCCCCAUUUGUCUAACUCAGCAUGAUGUCAACAAGGGUGGGAAGUACUGGAAGAGAUCUCUCUUGCUCAUCCUCAAGGUGCCCUGCUGGUUGGAGGAUGUGAUGCUUCCCAAGGUGUGUGGCGCUCUUGGGCCCCACAGAUCAGGCGGUAGGAGGUCCAUUGUGUCAGGCUUUGUGGGUGAUAGAACGUCUUCUCAGAGGUCCAGUGGAGAAGGCACCUGAACAGGAGUUUCCUUGGUAGGCCAGCCUUCAGCUGAGUGUUCCUGGGUUCCUGAGGACAGAGAAGCCUUGGAGGCUGCAAGUCUCGUGUCCUCUUGAUGAUCUCCACACCUGAGGAUGGUUGAGAAUAGACAGCUGCUGAGACUGGUCAUCCAUCACUGCAUGUGCCAGAUUUCUCAUUCCUGGUGACUCCAGGCAGUUGCUGUAAGACUUAUGUCCUGUCGAUGAGCUCUGUACGUGUGGACUGUUGAUGAUGGUUAAAGUUUGGAUCGAGUCAGAGUGCUGCAUUAGGGAAAUGAGGUGGAGGAGGCCUGCCAUGAGACCCCCAUGUCAGAAAGCAAAGUGUAUGAUGGUCAGGUCAUGGGAGUGAGCAUUUCCAUUUCCUUGUGGAGGCUUUGAAAAGAGGAUGAUCUGAAGAUGCUAUGGAGAUUGCUAGAACGGCCAGUCGCUGUGGUAGGCACGCCGUCAGCUGGGUGUUUCCGGUUCCUGGGCCCUGGAGCACCCUAUGAGGGCUGCAAGCCUGUGUCCCCCCGAUGAGCUCCAGGCCUGUGGAGUGCGCAGGAUGGGUGAGUUGCUGUGGCACACAUGCCUCUGCUGGCUGGGCCUGCCUUCUGGACCCCAGAGGAGCCUUGGAGGGCUGCCAGCCUUGUGUCCUCAUGACCAGCUCCGGGCUUGUGGAUGUUCAGGACAGUGGUACUGCCAUGUGAUGGAUUCCAGAGGACUACCAGGAAGACUUCUUUAUCCUAAGAUACAAUGAGAGGUGGUUUUGCCUUGUGACAGAUUCCAGGGACAAGAGGGAAGAUUAGCAUGUCCUGAGGCCCACAGAGAGGUCAAAAAACCCUGCAGCACAUGUGCAGAGGCUUCUUCUGAAUGUUGAUGAAUGGCUGAUGAUGGUGACCUUGCCAUAUGAGGGACUCCAAACACUUAGUGGGAAGAUCUGUAUCUCUUCAGAUCGCUAGAGAGGUCAGCAAGCCCUGGGACACAUCUGGAGUAUCUUCUUUUGUUUGAUGAUGGAUGGCUGAUGACAUUGGCUUUGCCAUGUGAUGGAUUGCAGGGACCUAGAGAGAAGAACUGUGUACCCGAGACCCUCAGAGAGGUCGACGUGGAUUGACCUCAUUAGGGUAGCAGUGCGUGUCUGAUGAAGAUUGCUGAGGCACAGCAUGAAGACCUGCAUAUCCCGAGAGCCCUGGGAAGCUCUGGAAACCACGGAGCUAUAUGAAGUGGCUUCUUUUGGACGGUGGAGGAUAACAUUUAUAGUGAAAUUAAAGAGAAGAUGAAGUAUGUCCGAAUUCCCUGGAAUCUUGUCGCCAAACCAGAGAAGUGCUGAUUUUGUCACUUGUACCAACUCCCUCAUCUGUGAAGGAAUAAAACAAUGUACUCCUGGGGUGAAGAUAAAGCCCAUACAGGAGGGGCAGUUGUUCAGGCACUUGAAUUAACUCCCAAAUGUUAGUUCCAGAAAAUGAGCUGACAGCAUACUUUCCAAUCAAAGUCUCCACUCCUGUGGUCUCUUGGACCCUCUUGCAGGAAAUGACUUUCUGGGAGUGACUGCCACCAGUAAAUCCUUGAAAGAAGAUUCCGCAUAAAGCUCUUCACAUACAUAUUGUCCAAGACAAACUCUCUGAAGGUGGCGAUCACAGUGGUGGUCGAGGUGAUGUGUUACAGUUGGAGCUGUUACUUCUACCACCAUCUGCACCAAAACAGUGACAGUUUUCCUUUGCUGGAGAGUCCUUCUUUCCCGUGUGGCAGUGGAUACCUUCUGCAGAUAAGAAAUGCUUAACUGAGAAAUGCUCAUGUUGGGAUGUCAUCGAUGAGACUUUAAUUUGGGCAUGGUGACUAUUUCCCUUCCUGCCACUUGACUCAAUCCCAGGAGCCUCAGUAGAGGAAAUAUUUUUGCACAAGAAGCUCAAAAUGGUGGAAUUUCUCAGUGCUCCUAUAAAUAUACAUUUACAAUUUGUAUUUGCCACAUGGGAUAAAUUUUAAAGUAGGAUAUAUUCAAAAGAAACCACAUGAUUUUUUUCAAAAAUUCAAAGCGUAUUCAAAUAAUUAAUAUAUAAAUUAAGUGCCCUGCUCUCUUUCAAUUCUAUAGUUUUCUCUAUUAAGGGAGGUGUGUGCAUUCUUUUAAUGUAUAGAUGUGCACAAGCUGUUUUUUGGAGGGGUCUAGAAGUGGGUCCAUCUUGUAAUAUAUUCUUCUGAAAAUUGCCUCCUUCAUUUACCAGUCUUUUCAAUGGGCAUUUUCUAAUAUAUACACAUCUGUGUCAUUUGGUGAGUGACUGCAUGAUUGUUUUGUAGAUGAAAUAUAAUUAAAUGUUUGAGGUAUCUCUCAUUCAUAGAUGUUUAUGUUAGCACCAAAUUUCUGUGCAGUGAACCUCCCUACAUAUCAACAAUUCUACAUUUGUCAAUGAUAUCAUAAUAAAAUUCCUUAGCAGUUGAAUUACUGGGAUUAAGGGUGGGCACACUUCAAAUUUUGAAAAUUAUUGCAAGAUUUCCUUUAAAAUGUGAUUAAUAACUUUAUCCUCGAUGGCAAUGAAUGAGGUUGCCAACUUUCUCACAACCUCACAGAUAAAUGGACUUUAUAAAUAUUUAAAAUCUUUGCCAGUGCGAUCGCCCAAACUAUUGUCUUAAAUUGUAUUUCUUUUGUUUUUAAGUUUAAUCAUUUUUUCAUAUUUAUUAGCCAUUUGUAUUUUUUAAUUUCCUCUUUAUGCCCAAUUUUGGGGGUGUGGGGAGGUUUUAGCCUCAGAUUUCAAAGAGCACAUUUAUUAUUGGUAAAAUAAGUUUUGGAUUGUCAAGCAUUACAGAUAUUUAUACACACUUUUUAACUUUGUUUUUGUUAUAAGAAUGUGUAUGAUUGUUACAUGUUCAAGUAUAACCAUGUUUGCUUUGAUAGCUUCUGAGUUUCAUGUCAUUUUUGGAAAGAUAUUUAUACUGAGUCCAUAAAACCCUUCACCUAUGUUAACUUUGAAUUCUUUUGUGUUUUUUUAAUUCAAAUUCUUAAAUCAUGAGGAAUUUUUUGUUUUGAAAUCUUAAAGCUGCCAAGUUAUUCGCCAUUACUUGCGAUUAUUUGCCAAUAAUUGCCCAUUUAUCUGUAACCAUCUUGCGCAUAUGCUGUAUUCCCAUCUGUGACUGGCUCCAUUUUUGUUCUGUGGAUCUGUGUGUCUCUUCUUCUGCCUUCUGUCUCAUGUGUCUUCUCGUUGGAAGAAAUUACAGUUUAGACUGCAAUUUCAUCAACUUUAAUAAAUUAAUUUAGGGGAGAAUUGUUUCUUUAAUAAUAUUAAGUCUUCAUACUCAAGAACAAGGUAUGUCUCGGUUUCAUUCAGUAAUUUGAAUUGUGGUUAAUAUUUUCACUUUGAUAUUGGGG
rnacentral:lncRNA from 1 species